CCCCUAGAUGUUCUGGGCCGCACGCGCGCUACACUGAACAGUUCAACAAGUCUUAACCUUGGCCGAUAGGUCUGGGUAAUCUUUGAACGCUGUUCGUGAUUGGGAUAGACCUUUGCAAUUAUGGGUCUUCAACGAGGAAUUCCUAGUAAACGCAAGGCAUCAGCUUGCAUUGAUUACGUCCCUGCCCUUUGUACACACCGCCCGUCGCACCUACCGAUUGAAUGGUCCGGUGAAAUCUCGGGACGGCGGCUUGGUCGCUUGCGUCCGACUGCUGAAACUUGAUUAAACCAUAUCAUUUAGAGGAAGGUGAAGUCGUAACA
rnacentral:rRNA from 1 species